UUCUGAGGGCCAACCCCCCCUAUCUAGGACUGAAAACACCCAUUUUGGGUUGAAAACCCUGAUUUUGAGGUGAAAAUCCCCCAUUUUGGAGUAGAAGCACUGAAAUCUGUGGGAAAAAAAUCAAUUUGUGGCUGAAAACAAGCAACGAGAAGGCAGAAAAUUGUUGUUUUGUGUGGGAAAUCCCCAAUUCGGGUCUGAAAAUCCCAAAUUUUGCUUUAAGAUUCCUAAAUUUGAGGCUGAAAACCCCAAAUUUGGGGUUCCCGACUUCGUUUCUCCCUCGGAACCUCUCGUUUUGGAGAUGAAAAUGUCAAAUUUGGGGCUGACAAUUACCAUUUUGGUGCCAAGAAAGUGAAUUUUGGGCUGAAAAAUGCCAAUUUUGGGUGAAAAUCCUUAUUUCAGCACCAAGAAAGUGAAUUUUGGGCUGGAAAAUCCCCAUUUUGAGCUGAAAAUUCUCACUUUGGUGCCCAGAAACUGAAUUUGGGGCUGGAAAAUCCUGAUUUUGAGCUGAAAAUGCUCAUUUUGGUACCAGAAGAGUGAAUUUUGGGCUGAAAAAUUCUGAUUUUGAGCUGAAAAUCCUCGUUUUGGUGCC